GAGCUUGUCUGGGAAAACGAGAACUGCUAAUUCCUCGCGCCCAUGGUUCAAUUCCAUGGCUUGCUCG
rnacentral:tRNA from 1 species